rnacentral:rRNA from 1 species
CCUACGGGCGACAGCAGUGGGGAAUAUUGCACAAUGGGCGAAAGCCUGAUGCAGCAACGCCGCGUGAAGGAAGAAGGGUUUCGGCUCGUAAACUUCUAUCAACAGGGACGAAAGAAAUGACGGUACCUGUAUAAGAAGCCCCGGCGAACGUCGUGACAGCAGCCGCGGUAAUACGGAGGGGGGAAGCGUUAUCCGGAAUUACUGGGUGUAAAGGGUGGGGAGGCGGCAUGGUAAGCCAGAUGUGAAAGCCUUGGGCUUAACCCGAGGAUUGCAUUUGGAACUAUCAAGCUAGAGUACAGGAGAGGAAGGCGGAAUUCCUAGUGUAGCGGUGAAAUGCUUAGAUAUUAGGAAGAACACCAGUGGCGAAGGCGGCUUUCUGGACUGAAACUGACGCUGAGGCACGAAAGCGUGGGGAGCGAACAGGAUUAGAUACCCCUGUAGUC